rnacentral:ncRNA from 1 species
UUCAAAGGCAAAACCGUUGUGAAACGGUGACGCAAAGCUAUAGGGUCUUUACUAACAAAAAGAUAGCCAGUUGUC